rnacentral:lncRNA from 1 species
UUACUUUUCGCCUUUACUAAUCUUAGUGUCGUAUGACUUGGUCUUUGAUCAUCAUGACAAUAUUCAUUAUAUAUUCGUCAAAAUUAUUGAAAACAAGAAUGUGUCUUUAGUACAUGGAUGCCCAAAUCGCAAGACUAACAAUGGCCAGGAAAUCCUAGGUUAGGACAGGCCCAAAAAAUCGGCAGAUCUAAACAUGUUAUUUUUGUUAUCUCAAACCCCCUCUCCCUUUACCUCUAGGCAAAGUAGAAAAAAAUCAAACACACAAUACACACAGUAAAAUUUACUUCAAAAAAAGUCUGAGUCUGAUGUCAGAUUCAACUACCUUGACCAAACACUUAAACCUGAAGCGAGACACAAGGACAAUCGGAUGAACAGACUGACAUACGCACGGACGAACAAACUGACAUACACACGGACGAACAGACUGACAUACGCACGGACGAACAGACGCAUAGACCAGAAAACAUAAUGCCCACAAUUAAAUGGGGCUUAACAACAAAGCCGG